CUACGGGUUGCUCCAGUGGGGAAUAUUGCACAAUGGGCGCAAGCCUGAUGCAGCCAUGCCGCGUGUAUGAAGAAGGCCUUCGGGUUGUAAAGUACUUUCAGCGGGGAGGAAGGGAGUAAAGUUAAUACCUUUGCUCAUUGACGUUACCCGCAGAAGAAGCACCGGCUAAGUCCGUGCCAGCAGCCGCGGUAAUACGGAGGGUGCAAGCGUUAAUCGGAAUUACUGGGCGUAAAGCGCACGCAGGCGGUUUGUUAAGUCAGAUGUGAAAUCCCCGGGCCCAACCUGGGAACUGCAUCUGAUACUGGCAAGCUUGAGUCUCGUAGAGGGGGGUAGAAUUCCAGGUGUAGCGGUGAAAUGCGUAGAGAUCUGGAGGAAUACCGGUGGCGAAGGCGGCCCCCUGGACGAAGACUGACGCUCAGGUGCGAAAGCGUGGGGAGCAAACAGGAUUAGAUACCCCCGUAGUC
rnacentral:rRNA from 1 species